rnacentral:tRNA from 1 species
GGGGAAUUAGCUCAGUUGGUGGAGCGCUCGCUUUGCAUGCGAGAGGUUCCGGGAUCGAUACCCAGAUUCUCAA